CAGAGCCCAUAUGCAGGCCAAGCUGGAGGGCCUGGUGGAGUCAGUAUAGACCCAGCCGCAGUCAAAUAUGGAGACCCCAGCCAGCUGCCCUAUGGUGUUCAAUCUACCAGCCUGGGUGCUGAGGGCAAUGGAAACGGUCUGGGAUAUAUGAAUGGUGGAGAUCCCCAAACUAACGGUUUGGGAGCAGGU